AGCCCCCAGCAAUGGGCAAAGAGACACCUGGUUGGUGGUAGCUUUCUAUAUCAGUCAGGGACAGAGCAGAUAACAGUCCUCUGUUCAUCCUAACCAGAAGUCUAGCUUGGUGGCCAAAGAUGAUUUAUGUCUAGGACUCAUAA